CUGGCCUCCACCUGAGGGCACCCCAACAACACCCACCACUCUCCGAGUUUCUUUUUGGGCCCACACUCCCAAUCACGCUGGUCCUAUUUAGGCAUCAAAUAUUAAUCGAGAUUUGUCACCUAAGGGGCCGCUGCUGCAGUUUAUCCAUUCAAAAGCUUUUGAUGCAUGGAGAACUUCAAAGCUGAGUGUUUUGGUGUUGAGCCAACAGAGGGCGUCGUACAUCAGUUUAUCAACGCGAGUGGGUUUGCGUCUCCUUUGCAAGCCACCGCUCUACUUUUUGUCGCUGACAUUUUGGAAGCGAACCACUGCUCAGGGAAGUGACCAUUUUUAGAUUUCAGCUGUCUGCGUCACCAGCCGACCAAAUAAGA